rnacentral:other from 1 species
AUUUCUCUGAGAUGUUUGCAAGCAGGCCAGUCCCUGAGCCGAUAUUUCAUACCACAAGAAUGUAAUGGCGCUCCGCAGUUGGUGAGCAUGCUCGGUUCGUCCGAAGCCUUAAAACUGUGACGACACAUUCACCUUGGUUUCAAGGGUUCAAGGGUUGCAACCUGCAGCGGCAUCUCGGAAAUUCC